CGACGACGACGACGCCGACGCCAACGUGAUAGCAAUAUACGACGAAAAAUUUUUCAAAUUUUGCGGUCGUAUAAAAAAAGUAGAACAAAUGAUGUGACAAAAUAAACUGUGUAAUCAUUUCUACAAUAUCAAAAUACAUUCUGUUUGCUUCUUAUAAGAAUUUAAAAAAAAAAAAUUUCCCCAUCUUCUGAAUGAAAGGUACAAAAAUUUUAUUUUUGGUAUUAUCUUAAAUCCAGACAGCAGAUUUAAAAAAUCAAAAAAAUCAGUUUAAUGUCCUUAACAUAAGAAUGCCCAUGCUUUUUAGGUACUGUGGAUUCAUUUUUAUUCAUGGGAUUCUAAUUUUCCUUGACUUCUUGGGUAAAGGUAGUGAAUUUAAAAGUUAAAAAAACUACAAUUUUUCUAUAAGCAUGUAUGAAAACUUUGGUAAAGCCCUGAAAUUAAAUAUCCACAAACAUACAAUUUGUCCUCAAUCCAGGAAAAUUCAUGAAUCCACAGUAAAUUCUUUAUUUGGUAAAAGAAAUAAGUAAAAUGAAAAUUUAUUUGUUAAUUUUAUUUGUGGUCAGGGUCAUAAAAAAGUGCCUCCCAUGUGUUUAAUUCUGGAAUAUUCCUAAUUAACCCCCUGUAUUAUUUAAACCCAUCAUUUUCUGUUACCAUAACAUAAAUAGUAUAGCUGCUUUACACUGUAAAUCUGACUGAUACAUAUAAACCUACAGGACACAUACAGGGACAGAAAUCAUAACAUUACUCAGAAGGAAAUACUUCUAUUGUCCAACAUUAGCAGAUUGGUAUCCCUGUGUAUCAUGUAAGUUUAAAUUAACAUCACUCAGUUCUCCUGAAAAUCCAACAUUUUUAUAAAGAUGUUUUAUACUUCCUUGUAUAAAGUCUGCUACAUAAUCAUUUCUGGAUAUUCAUUUUAAUUGCUUGAAUGAAUUUAUGAAAUACAUUUUAGUACAGAUAUUUUUUUUUAUAAAUUAUUAACUCCCCUGUUUACAUUAGUAAAUCCUAAACCUCAUACAACUAUUACAGUAAAUAAAAAACAAAUAUAUAUAAAUAAACAUUUGUUUUAAGAAUAAUAAUAAUAGAUAUGUUUUUUUUCAUGCAUAGAUCUGCAUUAUAAAUAUGCAUAUAUAUGAAACUGUACAAUGAAAAAAUAAAAUUUGUAAAUG
rnacentral:lncRNA from 1 species